GUCUGGAUGCUUAGGCACUGAGUGUAUGGACUCAUAGAUGGUAAAACAGCUUCAUUUUUCAUCCACAAUGGACGGGGAGUGAGUGCUAGGCACACCACAUGGGAAGGAUCCUGGGGCUGUGUUCCAGUUAGAAGCACACUCUUAUAACAUGGGCUUUAACUUGGGCAGGGACUAAGCUAAGUUCAGACUCUUAUCAUUCUCAUCUCAUUACACCUGUUUUAAGGAGACAGCAUACUAAAAGGGAAAGAUAAGGAAUGGGUUAGGCCUGAUUUCAAUCCUGGGUCUGUUCCUCCUCAGCGGAUAGUAGGCCAUUUACUGAACCUUAUGAGUCUCAUUUUCUUAUGUGCAAAACGGGAAUGAUAACAUCAAAUGAAGGAAGCUUCCCAGGAACUGGACCCUAUUUACUCCUCUGAUCUGUCCUGCAGCGAAGCAUCUUUCUCCACCCUCUUGCAAGAAAGUCUCUCCCACCAACAGCCCUGUUCCAGAAUGGCAGAGGGAGCUGUAAGUAACUGGACUGUACAGGAUCAACUAUUUCCCCCUUUUGUCAGAGGAUAAAAAGGCAAAACAACAAUAAGAGUGUUUCUUCCCAUUGUUUUUGGUAUAUUAAUUGUACUGGGCAAGUCUACUAGCAAGUGUCCUGAAUGAAAUGCUCUGUUCAACUCCUAGUGACUUUACUGGCAGUGUGAUCUUAGAGAGCAGCUGUAAGGAAUAUAUGAGUAUGUUCUCAUAGCAUCAGAAUGAUGCUAACUGCUAAAUUAGUCUUUGCUGUUUAAAAGUUUUUAUGCUUUCUAGGUAGGUGCUCCCUACCACUGAGCUGCAGGCUCAUCCCUCAGACUUUUGCUUCCACAAUGCACCUCGGAUGUUAAUCAUAUUCAAAACCACCAAGUUCUAGAAAUGGAUCUGGAGGGGAAAAGCAAAAAUGCCAACUCCUUGAUGCCAGCAUCUGCCACCUGGGAUCAGUCAGCCAUUCUUCUGGCAACUAUUUGGAGCAUCUGGCUCAUGUCUUGAGUCAGGCCAGGGUAUUUUUGGAAGUACUUACAGAAGCCAUGACAGGCAUAAGAAUUGCAAUCCAGCCUCCCAUAAAUAGGUUUCACAAUGAACAUAGUUCUUUCACAGGCUUCAUAUACAUAUAGAAGUUCUGGCAUUGGCCAGAGAAAAUAGUUUUCUUCAGAGCUGUGGCCUCUUUUCCUGUGGAGGAAGAGCCAGGCAGUUAUGGAGAAGCCCAGGCUACAUUCUCUGGUCCUGGGAAUGACACAAGUCCUCCCUGCAACAGAUGUCAGUAUGCAGUCUAGUAAUUACAACCCAGUUAAUAAAAUCUCCUGGGCUCCCGGAAGAGCACAAGUCCUUUCUGACAUGAAGGUGUCCUUUGCCAAACUAUUCAUCCUCACCAUCAUACUUGGACAGAUGCCAUGUACAAUUUGCUCAUCUUCAAAGAGAAUAUGGGGCUUACUUCCUAAAUAGCACAUUGGAUAGUCAUAGUAAAUGUUCAUUAAACUCAGCUGUAAAUGCAAAAAAUGUGAUUUGUUACGAAGCUAUAACUCAGAGCUUCUCAUAAUAUCUUUUGUAAGGAGCAAGUGGGCUUUGCACAAUGGUGGGCUACUCCACUGCUGGCAGCUGUUACAACUGCUACACUAAGCAAGAAAACGUUACAGAAACACAAAGUCACUGCAGCUUUCACUAACAUUUCCUUGACAUGGUUCAGGUUUAAGUCAUAGAUUAUUAGUUUAUGAAUACUUAAAAUACAUGGUGUAGUAGUCAAACUGACCCAUGACUCAGGUAUUCACUAACAGCCACACUGAAAGUUACAGCCUCUAUCUGUUGCAGAUGCCCUGCAAAACACAACACACUGGAUUGAAUUCCUUAACUUUGUAGAGGAGACCAGUGUGUUGGUGGCAGCCUUUGCGUUCCUGCUCAGAAGUUCCAGACUGAGUACUCCAGUAGAAUGAAAGGGCACAGCCAGGCGGGGAUCUGGAGUGAGGCAUGUACUAUGGGAAUCACACAUUUGGAAAAGAAAGGUGGCCCUCCCUUGUUGAGUUCUAGGUACAUCUCACUCCAUCUUGCUUCUCUUGAGCUUUUCUCCUGUGAUAUUCCCAACCCUGGACUCUGUUCUUGCCCACUGGGCCAUCUGUGUGUCCCCCAUCCCCACUGCGCUGGGAGAUGGCUCCACACCAGGCAUCUAUGGGCAGCAUUAAUUGGAUUCAGUGGGUUAUUAGAAACAAAAUGAUGACAUGAAAUUGAGAGGGAAUAGGGUAUGAAGUAGAUCUUGAAAGAGAGA